GAACGAUGGAGCUUGCUCCAGGCGUCGAGCGGCGGACGGGUGAGUAAUGCAUAGGAAUCUGCCCGGUAGUGGGGGAUAACCUGGGGAAACCCAGGCUAAUACCGCAUACGUCCUACGGGAGAAAGCAGGGGAUCUUCGGACCUUGCGCUAUCGGAUGAGCCUAUGUCGGAUUAGCUUGUUGGUGAGGUAAUGGCUCACCAAGGCGACGAUCCGUAGCUGGUCUGAGAGGAUGAUCAGCCACAUCGGGACUGAGACACGGCCCGAACUCCUACGGGAGGCAGCAGUGGGGAAUAUUGGACAAUGGGCGAAAGCCUGAUCCAGCCAUGCCGCGUGUGUGAAGAAGGCUUUCGGGUUGUAAAGCACUUUCAGUGAGGAAGAAGGCCUUGGGGCUAAUACCCCCGAGGAAGGACAUCACUCACAGAAGAAGCACCGGCUAACUCCGUGCCAGCAGCCGCGGUAAUACGGAGGGUGCGAGCGUUAAUCGGAAUUACUGGGCGUAAAGCGCGCGUAGGCGGCGUGAUAAGCCGGUUGUGAAAGCCCCGGGCUCAACCUGGGAACGGCAUCCGGAACUGUCAGGCUAGAGUGCAGGAGAGGAAGGUAGAAUUCCCGGUGUAGCGGUGAAAUGCGUAGAGAUCGGGAGGAAUACCAGUGGCGAAGGCGGCCUUCUGGACUGACACUGACGCUGAGGUGCGAAAGCGUGGGUAGCAAACAGGAUUAGAUACCCUGGUAGUCCACGCCGUAAACGAUGUCGACUAGCCGUUGGGGUCCUUGAGACCUUUGUGGCGCAGUUAACGCGAUAAGUCGACCGCCUGGGGAGUACGGCCGCAAGGUUAAAACUCAAAUGAAUUGACGGGGGCCCGCACAAGCGGUGGAGCAUGUGGUUUAAUUCGAUGCAACGCGAAGAACCUUACCUACCCUUGACAUCGUGCGAACUUUGUAGAGAUACCUUGGUGCCUUCGGGAGCGCACAGACAGGUGCUGCAUGGCU
rnacentral:rRNA from 1 species